rnacentral:rRNA from 1 species
UACGUAGGUGGCAAGCGUUGUCCGGAUUUACUGGGCGUAAAGAGCGUGUAGGCGGCCACGCAGGUCCGUUGUGAAAACUGGAGGCUCAACCUCCAGCUGUCGACGGAAACCGUAUGGCUAGAGUCCGGAAGAGGAGAGUGGAAUUCCUGGUGUAGCGGUGAAAUGCGCAGAUAUCAGGAAGAACACCGAUGGCGAAGGCAGGUCUCUGGGCCACUACUGACGCUGAGGAGCGAAAGCAUGGGGAGCGAACAGG